UAUGGUAAUUGUGUGCCAGCCUCCGCUUGACUACGUAGGGGGCAAGCGUUAUCCGGAAUUACUGGGUGUAAAGGGUGCGUAGGUGGUAUGGCAAGUCAGAAGUGAAAACCCAGGGCUUAACUCUGGGACUGCUUUUGAAACUGUCAGACUGGAGUGCAGGAGAGGUAAGCGGAAUUCCUAGUGUAGCGGUGAAAUGCGUAGAUAUUAGGAGGAACAUCAGUGGCGAAGGCGGCUUACUGGACUGAAACUGACACUGAGGCACGAAAGCGUGGGGAGCAAACAGG
rnacentral:rRNA from 1 species